rnacentral:rRNA from 1 species
AACGUAGGAGACGAACGUUAUCCGGAGUUACUGGGCGUAAAGGGCGUGCAGGCGGUCUGAUAAGUUCGGCGUGAAAUAUUCCGGCUUAACCGGGAUAGGUCGUCGGAGACUGUCGGACUAGAGGGUGAUAGAGGCGUGUGGAAUUCCGGGUGUAAGUGGUGAAAUGCGUAGAGAUCCGGAGGAACACCAGUGGCGAAGGCGACACGCUGGUCACACCUGACGCUAAGCGCGACAGCAUGGGAGCGAACGGG